rnacentral:rRNA from 1 species
GAUGAACGCUAGCGGCAGGCUUAAUACAUGCAAGUCGAGGGGUAACAUGGUAGCAAUACUGAUGACGACCGGCAAACGGGUGCGGAACACGUACAGAACCUUCCUUUAAGCGGGGGAUAGCCCAUAGAAAUGUGGAUUAAUACCCCAUAGUAAUAUUGUCUGGCAUCAGAUGGUAUUUAAAGAUUUAUCACUUAAAGAUGGCUGUGCGGCUGAUUAGGUAGUUGGUCGGGGUAAGG